GGCCAGGUAGCCAAAUGGGAAGGCGGAAGUCUGCAAAACUUCUAUGAAUGGGUUCGAUUCCCAUCCUGGCCU
rnacentral:tRNA from 1 species